CAACAGGGAUUGCCCCAGUAAUGGCGAAUGAAGCGGCAAGAGCCCAAAUUUGAAAUCGGGCAACCGAGUUGUAAUUUGGAGACGGGACACUAGAGAGGAGGAAGGCGAUUAAGUGCCUUGGAACAGGCUGCCGUAGAGGGUGAGAGCCCCGUGAAUCGCUGGAGACCGAUCGAUUAGUGCCCGCCGAAGAGUCGAGUUGUUUGGGAAUGCAGCUCUAAGCGGGUGGUAUAUUCCAUCUAAGGCUAAAUAUUAGCGAGAGACCGAUAGCAAACAAGUACAGUGAUGGAAAGAUGAAAAGAACUUUGGAAAGAGAGUGAAAUAGUACGUGAAAUUGUUGAAAGGGAAGGGUAUUUGAUCCGACAUGGUGUUUAGCAGCGGCCCGUUCCUCGUGGAUGGGUGCACCUGGUUUACACUGGGCCAGCAUCGGUUCUGGGAGCCAUAUACGGGGUUCGUGAAUGUGGCCCUUCGAUUCUGUCGGAGGGUGUUAUAGCGCGGGCAUCUUGUGGCUAGCCGGGACCGGGGACUGC
rnacentral:rRNA from 1 species